CUUGUGCAUAGUCCAACGUCUGCUCCUCAGUUUCCUUCACAGGCAUUCUCCCUGUGAAUGUCCUGCAUGCCUAACUCCAUUUUGGCAUCUGCUUCUUGGAAGACCUGGACUGACAUGGCUACUCCAGUGAGAAAGUCCUAUGGCCCCAACGUCCCACGGCAGAUUUCAGGUUUUGUCUGAAAUGUGGAGGCCGUAAGUUGGCAGCACAACGUCCACCUGGCCUCCUAGCUCCGCCCUCCGUACUCAAGUGCAUCCAACAAUUUCAGCUGCGGCCUCGGCCUGCCCAGACAAAGUGACAUCUAAAAGGAACUCAACAAAAACCCAUCUGACAGAGAGGAGGGUUCAGCCCCCUGAUUGAUUGUCAGUGCCCUCAUAC